AAACUGUGCAAUGCGCGAAAGCNCGACACGGGAAGCCUGAGUGCCUUAACUAUGUUAAGGCUUUUCUUGAGCCUAAAAAGCUCAAGGAAUAAGAACUGGGUAAGACGGGUGCCAGCCGCCGCGGUAACACCCGCGGUUCGAGUGGUAGUCACUUUUAUUGAGCCUAAAGCGUUUGUAGCCGGAUUUGUAAAUCUCCAGGAAAAGACUUCAGCUCAACUGAAGAAAUUUUGGAGAGACUGCAAAUCUAGGGACCGGGUGAGGUUGAAUGUACUUCUGGGGUAGGGGUAAAAUCCUGUAAUCCUGGAAGGACGACCGGUGGCGAAGGCGUUCAACUAGAACGGAUCCGACGGUGAGGAACGAAGGCUAGGGGAGCAAACCGGAUUAGAUACCCGGGUAGUCCUAGCUGUAAACACUGCCCACUUGGUGUUGCAUCUCCGGUAAGGGGGUGCAGUGCCGUAGCGAAGGUGUUAAGUGGGCCGCUUGGGGAGUAUGGUCGCAAGGCUGAAACUUAAAGGAAUUGGCGGGAGAGCACCGCAACGGGAGGAGCGUGCGGUUUAAUUGGAUUCAACGCCGGAAAACUCACCGGAGG
rnacentral:rRNA from 1 species